rnacentral:rRNA from 1 species
AAGAAAUUACAAUGAUUUCCCUAGUAACGGCGAGUGAAGAGGAAAGAGCUCAAAGUUGGAAACUGUUUGGCUUAGCUAAACCGUAUUGUAAACUGUAGAAACAUUUUCCUGGCACGCCGGAUUAAUAAGUCCUUUGGAACAAGGCAUCAUGGAGGGUGAGAAUCCCGUCUUUGAUCCGAGUAGUUGUCUUUUGUGAUAUGUUUUCAAAGAGUCAGGUUGUUUGGGAAUGCAGCCUAAAUUGGGUGGUAAAUCUCACCUAAAGCUAAAUAUUUGCGAGAGACCGAUAGCGAACAAGUACCGUGAGGGAAAGAUGAAAAGAACUUUGAAAAGAGAGUUAAACAGUAUGUGAAAUUGUUAAAAGGGAACCGUUUGGAGCCAGACUGGUUUGACUGUAAUCAACCUAGAAUUCGUUCUGGGUGCACUUGCAGUCUAUACCUGCCAACAACAGUUUGAUUUGGAGGAAAAAAUUAGUAGGAAUGUAGCCUCUCGAGGUGUUAUAGCCUACUAUCAUACUCUGGAUUGGACUGAGGAACGCAGCGAAUGCCUUUAGGCAAGAUUGCUGGGUGCUUUCGCUAAUAAAUGUUAGAAUUUCUGCUUCGGGUGGUGCUAAUGUUUAAAGGAGGAACACAUCUAGUAUAUUUUUUAUUCGCUUAGGUUGUUGGCUUAAUGACUCUAAAUGACCCGUCUUGAAACACGGACCAAGGAGUCCACCAUAAGUGCAAGUAUUUGAGUGACAAACUCAUAUGCGUAAGGAAACUGAUUGAUACGAAAUCUUUUGAUGGCAGUAUCACCCGGCGUUGACGUUUUAUACUGAACUGACCGAGGUAAAGCACUUAUGAUGGGACCCGAAAGAUGGUGAACUAUGCCUGAAUAGGGUGAAGCCAGAGGAAACUCUGGUGGAGGCUCGUAGCGAUUCUGACGUGCAAAUCGAUCGUCAAAUUUGGGUAUAGGGGCGAAAGACUAAUCG